GCCUGGGUGGCUCAGUCAGUUGAGCGCCUGACUCCAGCUCAGGUCAUCAUCUCCGUGAACUCACGGUUCGUGAGUUCAAGCCCCACAUCGGGCU
rnacentral:tRNA from 1 species